ACGUAGGUGGCAAGCGUUGUCCGGAUUUACUGGGCGUAAAGAGCGCGCAGGCGGUCGUUUAAGUCGAAUGUGAAAGCCCCCGGCUCAACUGGGGAGGGUCAUUCGAUACUGAUCGACUUGAAGGCAGGAGAGGGAAGUGGAAUUCCGAGUGUAGAGGUGAAAUUCGUAGAUAUUCGGAAGAACACCAGUGGCGAAGGCGACUUACUGGACGAUUGUUGACGCUGAGGUGCGAAAGCGUGGGGAGCAAACAGGA
rnacentral:rRNA from 1 species